rnacentral:rRNA from 1 species
GUAGGUGGCAAGCGUUGUCCGGAAUUAUUGGGCGUAAAGCGCGCGCAGGCGGUCCUUUAAGUCCGAUGUGAAAGCCCACGGCUCAACCGUGGAGGGUCAUUGGAAACUGGGGGACUUGAGUACAGAAGAGGAAAGCGGAAUUCCAAGUGUAGCGGUGAAAUGCGUAGAGAUUUGGAGGAACACCAGUGGCGAAGGCGGCUUUCUGGUCUGUAACUGACGCUGAGGCGCGAAAGCGUGGGGAGCAAACAGGAUUAGAUACCCUGGUAGUCCACGCCGUAAACGAUGAGUGCUAAGUGUUAGGGGUUUCCCGCCCCCUUAGUGCUGCAGCUAACGCAUUAAGCACUCCGCCUGGGGAGUACGGCCGCAAGGCUG